rnacentral:rRNA from 1 species
AUGCAGGUGGCGAAGGGUCCGGUGGCUGGCCGGACUGAUGAAUUUGCCGAACUAAAGCGGCAACUUGACGUGGCGGAUGUCGACAUCGCGAUUGUCAAUAGGCGACUUGACGAGUCACAAGAUGGUGCCGCUGCCAUGGAGAACCUGUGGGCGGAGCUCGCCCAAGCCAAGGAGCAGGCCAGAAAGAGUGACGCGGCCGCCUUAAAGGUGGCCGAAGAGCUAAAAGCCGAACAGGCUGCUCACUGCCCAAGCAAGAAGGAGAUGGCCGAGAUGGCCGUGGAGUUGAAGAAUGCUGCCGACCGCUGCAAGCUUCUGGAAAAAGAAGAUCGGGCGGUACAAGAGGACCUGAAGAAGGCCACUGCCGAGGCCAAGGAUGCUCACUCUACGAUGAGAGCUAUGAAGGAGGAGCUGCGUCAGGCCGGAGAUAUCGCGGCUGGAAAGCCCUUUCUGCUGCGUAGGAAAUUCCUGGACCCUCAUUAUGCUCAGUUGGAUCGGCUGUGGAGUGUGGAAGAUUCUUAUCUGGACUUGGCGGCAAGUGCGGCGGACGCGGCCGAACACUUCUAA